rnacentral:rRNA from 1 species
GACGAACGCUGGCGGCGUGCUUAACACAUGCAAGUCGAGCGAUGAAGCUCCUUCGGGAGUGGAUUAGCGGCGGACGGGUGAGUAACACGUGGGCAACCUGCCUUAUAGAGAGGAAUAGCCAUUCGAAAGGAUGAUUAAUACCUCAUAAUAUUGUAGCUUCGCAUGGAGCAACAAUCAAAGGAGCAAUCCACUAUAAGAUGGGCCCGCGGCGCAUUAGCUAGUUGGUGAGGUAACGGCUCACCAAGGCGACGAUGCGUAGCCGACCUGAGAGGGUGAUCGGCCACAUUGGGACUGAGACACGGCCCAGACUCCUACGGGAGGCAGCAGUGGGGAAUAUUGCACAAUGGGGGAAACCCUGAUGCAGCAACGCCGCGUGAGUGAUGACGGCCUUCGGGUUGUAAAGCUCUGUCUUCAGGGACGAUAAUGACGGUACCUGAGGAGGAAGCCACGGCUAACUACGUGCCAGCAGCCGCCGUAA